rnacentral:lncRNA from 1 species
GCAUAAUUGAAGUGGGUGAGAGCCAGUCCAGCACCCUGCAGAGAGUGUGGAAGAUGAUCAAAGUAUGACAUUUCUUCUACCCCAGAGGCUGGCAUUUCUGCAGGCACAAAUGAGCUUGGUUUUCAAGCACUGCUCUUUGAACACAAGGAAUUCCUUUAAUGAUCACGCCGGACUAUAUAGACUUUGGAAUCAGACUCUUUGAAUUCCAGCUCUGCCAUUUACCAACUUUGACACUUUGGACAACGUCUCAUUCUGUCACCCAGGCUGGAGUGCAAUGGCACAAUUAUAGCUCACUGCAGCCUCAAACACCUGGGCUCAAGCAAUCCUUCCACCUCUGCCUCCUGAGUAAUUGGGACUACAGGCAUGUGCCACCACACCCAGCUAAUUUUUAAUUUUUAAUUUUUUUGUAGAGAUGGCGGUCUUGCUAUGUCACCCAGGCUGGUCUUGAACACCUGGCCUCAAGUGAUCCUCCGGCCUUGGUCUCUCAAAGCUCUGGGAUUACAGACAUGAGCCACUGCACCCGGCUCUAUCUCCCCUUCCUAUGUGUGUUAGCUCUAGAACAAGAGAAGCCUUGUUGAGAUUCCUGGCUGCCCACCCCCCAUCACCUCUCUGACUUUGGGCAAGUUGCCUGGCCUCUCUCAGCCUUUAUUUUCUUUUUGUGAAAUGGGGAUAAUAAUAGUACUUGCCUCAUAGGCAAAAUGUUGUGAGAACUAAACGAGAAAAUGCAUGUAAAGCACUUGGCACUUAGUUCUUUUUAUGAUUAUAAUGAUAAUCAGACACAAUAAAUU